UGGUGGCGUGCUUAACACAUGCAAGUCGAACGGUGAUGCCCAGCUUGCUGGGUGGAUCAGUGGCGAACGGGUGAGUAACACGUGAGCAACCUGCCCCUCACUUCGGGAUAAGCCUUGGAAACGAGGUCUAAUACCGGAUACGAGCGCCUGCCGCAUGGUGGGUGUUGGAAAGUUUUUCGGUGGGGGAUGGGCUCGCGGCCUAUCAGCUUGUUGGUGGGGUAAUGGCCUACCAAGGCGUCGACGGGUAGCCGGCCUGAGAGGGCGACCGGCCACACUGGGACUGAGACACGGCCCAGACUCCUACGGGAGGCAGCAGUGGGGAAUAUUGCACAAUGGGCGAAAGCCUGAUGCAGCGACGCCACGUGAGGGAUGACGGCCUUCGGGUUGUAAACCUCUUUCAGCAGGGAAGAAGCGAAAGUGACGGUACCUGCAGAAGAAGCGCCGGCUAACUACGUGCCAGCAGCCGCGGUAAUACGUAGGGCGCAAGCGUUGUCCGGAAUUAUUGGGCGUAAAGAGCUCGUAGGCGGUCUGUCGCGUCUGGUGUGAAAUCUCAUGGCUCAACUGUGAGCUUGCAUCGGGUACGGGCAGACUAGAGUGCUGUAGGGGAGACUGGAAUUCCUGGUGUAGCGGUGGAAUGCGCAGAUAUCAGGAGGAACACCGAUGGCGAAGGCAGGUCUCUGGGCAGUUACUGACGCUGAGGAGCGAAAGCAUGGGGAGCGAACAGGAUUAGAUACCCUGGUAGUCCAUGCCGUAAACGUUGGGCACUAGGUGUGGGGCGGGUUCCACUGGUUCUGUGCCGCAGCUAACGCAUUAAGUGCCCCGCCUGGGGAGUACGGCCGCAAGGCUAAAACUCAAAGGAAUUGACGGGGGCCCGCACAAGCGGCGGAGCAUGCGGAUUAAUUCGAUGCAACGCGAAGAACCUU
rnacentral:rRNA from 1 species